CCGCUGGGUAGCUCUUGUCGUUCGAUCAGCAAUGACGGGCGGCGGGAUGCUUACUCGGCGGACGGGUGCAUCUCCACCGGGUUUGACGGUAGGAACUGUUGCGACUGGACCUAAGGCCUGGGAUGAAGUUUUCGCCUCGGCGUCAGCUCCCGGUGUCCUGGCUCUGGAUGCGACAGGCCAUGUGGCCAACUUGUACAGCAAGCAACCCUUCUGUUGCGGUUGGCCGUUCUCUACCGAGUA
rnacentral:rRNA from 1 species